UACGUAGGGGGCUAGCGUUGUCCGGAAUCAUUGGGCGUAAAGAGCGUGUAGGCGGUCCGGUAAGUCCGCUGUGAAAGUCGGGGGCUCAACCCUUGAAUGCCGGUGGAUACUGUCGGGCUAGAGUGCGGAAGAGGCGAGUGGAAUUCCUGGUGUAGCGGUGAAAUGCGCAGAUAUCAGGAGGAACACCUAUUGCGAAGGCAGCUCGCUGGGACGUAACUGACGCUGAGACGCGAAAGCGUGGGGAGCAAACAGG
rnacentral:rRNA from 1 species